UACGUAGGGGGCAAGCGUUGUCCGGAUUUAUUGGGCGUAAAAGGCUUGUAGGUGGCCACGCCAAGUCGGAUGUGAAAUCUCCCGGCUCAACUGGGAGGGGUCAUUCGAUACUGGCGGGCUCGAGGCCGGUAGGGGGAAGUGGAAUUCCCGGUGUAGUGGUGGAAUGCGUAGAUAUCGGGAGAAACACCAGUGGCGAAGGCGGCUUCCUGGACCGGUUCUGACACUGAGGAGCGAAAGCGUGGGGAGCGAUCCGG
rnacentral:rRNA from 1 species